AAUCAACGCUGGCGGCGUGCCUAACACAUGCAAGUCGAACGCGGUUUUCCCGCAAGGGAAAACUGAGUGGCGAACGGGUGAGUAACACGUGGGUGACCUACCUUCGAGUGGGGGAUAACGUCCCGAAAGGGACGCUAAUACCGCAUAACAUCCCGCCUUUGAACAGGCGGAGAUCAAAGCCGGGGAUCGUAAGACCUGGCGCUUGAUGAGGGGCCCGCGUCCGAUUAGCUAGUUGGUGAGGUAAUGGCUCACCAAGGCAACGAUCGGUAG
rnacentral:rRNA from 1 species